GCGCCGGUGGUGUAAAGCGUAGAUCAUUCCCGCCCGGUCAGAGGGAGGUGCGGGUUCGAGUCCCGCCUGGUGCU
rnacentral:tRNA from 1 species